UUUAAGGUUAAAACUGGGGUUGGAAUAAGAGGGUUUUGAAGGUAAAAUUGGGCUUGACAUCAAAUUUAGAAGUUCAAACUGGGCUUGACACCAGGGGGUUUUAAAGUUAAAAUUGGGCCUGAUAUCAGGAGGUUUUAAAUGUAAAACUGGGCUUGACAUCAGGAGGUUUUAAAGUUAAAAUUGGGCUCGACAUGAGGAGGUUUUAAAGUUAAAAUUGGGUCUGAUAUCAGGAGAUUUUAAGGUUAAAACUGGGCUCGACAUCAGGGGGUUUUAAAGCUGAAACUGGGCUUGACAUCAGGAGGCUUUAAAGUUAAAAUUGGGCCUGAUAUCAGGAGAUUUUAAAGUUAAAAUUGGGCUUGACAUCAGGAGGUUUUAAAUGUAAAAUUGGACCUGAUAUCAGGAGGUUUUAAGGUUAAAACUGGGCUUGACAUGAGGAGGUUUUA